CAAAGUUUCUGUUGACAGAGGAGGUGGAACUAUCCCUGCAGGACGAAGAAGGCGCAGAGAUCGACGAGCAAGUUCUUCCCAUUCUACUCGACCAAGCGACCACCCCUAAUCUUAUCUUUUUGCUGAAUGGCGAGGAAUUGGUCUCGACAACUUCGCAGGUCGUGACGAUUCCAUCUACAUUUGCAGGUGUCAGUCUAACUCCAGGCUCAUUUUCGGUUGGAGGGCAAAACGAAGAUUUGUUUCAACAGGUACUGGAACAUUUAUUGGAAGAUAGACAGGAUCUGUCUCAAGUCGUCAGCGAGUGCAACAAAAAUGGUUUUGUUGACUUUACUUCCUCGUCAACUUUGAUCAAGGAAUUUGUUGCCAAGUUGGUGCAACUCAAAGGUGAGUCACCAUCCCCCAAGGAUCAAAAAUUACUGGCGUUGGCAAUUAUUAAAAUUUUGCCCUGUUGGAGAUUUCCAUCAAGUGUUGAAGGAAUUGAUUUGUUAUUUGACGACGUAAAUCGCACCGGGCUUAUUCAGUCAAG